CCUACGGGAGGCAGCAGUAAGGAAUAUUGGUCAAUGGGCGCAAGCCUGAACCAGCCAUGCCGCGUGCAGGAAGACGGCCCUAUGGGUUGUAAACUGCUUUUGAACAAGAGAAAACCUCGGUACGUGUACCGAGCUGAUAGUAUUGUUAGAAUAAGCAUCGGCUAACUUCGUGCCAGCAGCCGCGGUAAGACGAAGGAUGCAAGCGUUAUCCGGAUUCAUUGGGUUUAAAGGGUGCGUAGGCGGCCUGAUAAGUCAGUGGUGAAAUCUCUCAGCUUAACUGAGAAACUGCCAUUGAUACUGUCGGGCUUGAGUACAGAUGAUGUGGGCGGAAUAUGACAUGUAGUGGUGAAAUACUUAGAUAUGUCAUAGAACACCGAUUGCGAAGGCAGCUCACAAAACUGUAACUGACGCUGAGGCACGAAAGUGCGGGGAUCAAACAGGAUUAGAUACCCUGGUAGUCCGCACCGUAAACGAUGAUUACUCGUUGUUGGCAAUAUGACCGUCAGCGACCAAGCGAAAGCGAAUAAGUAAUUCCACCUGGGGAGUUACGCCGGCAACGGUUGAAACUUCAAAAUUGAAUUGACGG
rnacentral:rRNA from 1 species